GGGUUGUGAGGUUAAGCGACUAAGCGUACACGGUGGAUGCCCUGGCAGUCAGAGGCGAUGAAGGACGUGCUAAUCUGCGAUAAGCGUCGGUAAGGUGAUAUGAACCGUUAUAACCGGCGAUUUCCGAAUGGGGAAACCCAGUGUGUUUCGACACACUAUCAUUAACUGAAUCCAUAGGUUAAUGAGGCGAACCGGGGGAACUGAAACAUCUAAGUACCCCGAGGAAAAGAAAUCAACCGAGAUUCCCCCAGUAGCGGCGAGCGAACGGGGAGGAGCCCAGAGCCUGAAUCAGUGUGUGUGUUAGUGGAAGCGUCUGGAAAGGCGCGCGAUACAGGGUGACAGCCCCGUACACAAAAAUGCACAUGCUGUGAGCUCGAUGAGUAGGGCGGGACACGUGGUAUCCUGUCUGAAUAUGGGGGGACCAUCCUCCAAGGCUAAAUACUCCUGACUGACCGAUAGUGAACCAGUACCGUGAGGGAAAGGCGAAAAGAACCCCGGCGAGGGGAGUGAAAAAGAACCUGAAACCGUGUACGUACAAGCAGUGGGAGCACAGAGCAAUCUGUGUGACUGCGUACCUUUUGUAUAAUGGGUCAGCGACUUAUAUUCUGUAGCAAGGUUAACCGAAUAGGGGAGCCGAAGGGAAACCGAGUCUUAACUGGGCGUUAAGUUGCAGGGUAUAGACCCGAAACCCGGUGAUCUAGCCAUGGGCAGGUUGAAGGUUGGGUAACACUAACUGGAGGACCGAACCGACUAAUGUUGAAAAAUUAGCGGAUGACUUGUGGCUGGGGGUGAAAGGCCAAUCAAACCGGGAGAUAGCUGGUUCUCCCCGAAAGCUAUUUAGGUAGCGCCUCGUGAAUUCAUCUCCGGGGGUAGAGCACUGUUUCGGCAAGGGGGUCAUCCCGACUUACCAACCCGAUGCAAACUGCGAAUACCGGAGAAUGUUAUCACGGGAGACACACGGCGGGUGCUAACGUCCGUCGUGAAGAGGGAAACAACCCAGACCGCCAGCUAAGGUCCCAAAGUCAUGGUUAAGUGGGAAACGAUGUGGGAAGGCCCAGACAGCCAGGAUGUUGGCUUAGAAGCAGCCAUCAUUUAAAGAAAGCGUAAUAGCUCACUGGUCGAGUCGGCCUGCGCGGAAGAUGUAACGGGGCUAAACCAUGCACCGAAGCUGCGGCAGCGAUACUGUGUGUUGUUGGGUAGGGGAGCGUUCUGUAAGCCUGUGAAGGUGUGCUGUGAGGCAUGCUGGAGGUAUCAGAAGUGCGAAUGCUGACAUAAGUAACGAUAAAGCGGGUGAAAAGCCCGCUCGCCGGAAGACCAAGGGUUCCUGUCCAACGUUAAUCGGGGCAGGGUGAGUCGACCCCUAAGGCGAGGCCGAAAGGCGUAGUCGAUGGGAAACAGGUUAAUAUUCCUGUACUUGGUGUUACUGCGAAGGGGGGACGGAGAAGGCUAUGUUGGCCGGGCGACGGUUGUCCCGGUUUAAGCGUGUAGGCUGGUUUUCCAGGCAAAUCCGGAAAAUCAAGGCUGAGGCGUGAUGACGAGGCACUACGGUGCUGAAGCAACAAAUGCCCUGCUUCCAGGAAAAGCCUCUAAGCAUCAGGUAACAUCAAAUCGUACCCCAAACCGACACAGGUGGUCAGGUAGAGAAUACCAAGGCGCUUGAGAGAACUCGGGUGAAGGAACUAGGCAAAAUGGUGCCGUAACUUCGGGAGAAGGCACGCUGAUAUGUAGGUGAAGUCCCUCGCGGAUGGAGCUGAAAUCAGUCGAAGAUACCAGCUGGCUGCAACUGUUUAUUAAAAACACAGCACUGUGCAAACACGAAAGUGGACGUAUACGGUGUGACGCCUGCCCGGUGCCGGAAGGUUAAUUGAUGGGGUCAGCGCAAGCGAAGCUCUUGAUCGAAGCCCCGGUAAACGGCGGCCGUAACUAUAACGGUCCUAAGGUAGCGAAAUUCCUUGUCGGGUAAGUUCCGACCUGCACGAAUGGCGUAAUGAUGGCCAGGCUGUCUCCACCCGAGACUCAGUGAAAUUGAACUCGCUGUGAAGAUGCAGUGUACCCGCGGCAAGACGGAAAGACCCCGUGAACCUUUACUAUAGCUUGACACUGAACAUUGAGCCUUGAUGUGUAGGAUAGGUGGGAGGCUUUGAAGUGUGGACGCCAGUCUGCAUGGAGCCGACCUUGAAAUACCACCCUUUAAUGUUUGAUGUUCUAACGUGGACCCGUGAUCCGGGUUGCGGACAGUGUCUGGUGGGUAGUUUGACUGGGGCGGUCUCCUCCUAAAGAGUAACGGAGGAGCACGAAGGUUGGCUAAUCCUGGUCGGACAUCAGGAGGUUAGUGCAAUGGCAUAAGCCAGCUUGACUGCGAGCGUGACGGCGCGAGCAGGUGCGAAAGCAGGUCAUAGUGAUCCGGUGGUUCUGAAUGGAAGGGCCAUCGCUCAACGGAUAAAAGGUACUCCGGGGAUAACAGGCUGAUACCGCCCAAGAGUUCAUAUCGACGGCGGUGUUUGGCACCUCGAUGUCGGCUCAUCACAUCCUGGGGCUGAAGUAGGUCCCAAGGGUAUGGCUGUUCGCCAUUUAAAGUGGUACGCGAGCUGGGUUUAGAACGUCGUGAGACAGUUCGGUCCCUAUCUGCCGUGGGCGCUGGAGAACUGAGGGGGGCUGCUCCUAGUACGAGAGGACCGGAGUGGACGCAUCACUGGUGUUCGGGUUGUCAUGCCAAUGGCACUGCCCGGUAGCUAAAUGCGGAAGAGAUAAGUGCUGAAAGCAUCUAAGCACGAAACUUGCCCCGAGAUGAGUUCUCCCUGACCCUUUAAGGGUCCUGAAGGAACGUUGAAGACGACGACGUUGAUAGGCCGGGUGUGUAAGCGCAGCGAUGCGUUGAGCUAACCGGUACUAAUGAACCGUGAGGCUUAACCUUACAACGCCGAAGGUGUUU
rnacentral:rRNA from 1 species